rnacentral:rRNA from 1 species
CCUACGGGAGACAGCAGUGAGGAAUAUUGGUCAAUGGACGAGAGUCUGAACCAGCCAAGUAGCAUGAAGGAUGACUGCCCUAUGGGUUGUAAACUUCUUUUAUAUGGGAAUAAAAUGUUCCACGUGUGGGAUUUUGUAUGUACCAUAUGAAUAAGGAUCGGCUAACUCCGUGCCAGCAGCCGCGGUAAUACGGAGGAUCCGAGCGUUAUCCGGAUUUAUUGGGUUUAAAGGGAGCGUAGGUGGAUUGUUAAGUCAGUUGUGAAAGUUUGCGGCUCAACCGUAAAAUUGCAGUUGAAACUGGCAGUCUUGAGUACAGUAGAGGUGGGCGGAAUUCGUGGUGUAGCGGUGAAAUGCUUAGAUAUCACGAAGAACUCCGAUUGCGAAGGCAGUUCACUGGACUGCAACUGACACUGAGGCUCGAAAGUGUGGGUAUCAAACAGGAUUAGAUACCCCAGUAGUC